UUUAAUGUAUAUUUCAAUAUUUACCUUUAUAAUAUUAUUUCCUUUAAGAGUUUCCUCCCAUAAGAUCACUAACUGAUCCCUCUCCACUUCUUCUAUCACCCCCUUACUGUCCCUUCUAAUUCUCUUUAACUGUGAAUCAAACCAAAGGAGGAUCAAGUGGUUCUUCUUCCAUUGGUGCCCAACAAGGCCGUUUUCUGCUACAUAUGCAGUUGGAGACAUAGGUCUGUUCACGUUUAGUCUUUCAAUAUUAGUCUCAUACCAGAGAACUUUGAUUCAUUAGCAUUGUUGUUCUUAUGGUGUUGAAAGUCCCCUCAGCUCUUGUUAGCCUUUCUCAAAAUCUACCAACAAGAGUUCCAUUUUCAGUUCACAGAUUUGCCAAUAGCAUACACUUUUGAAUUUGACAUGCUCUAGCUGUGUCUCUCACAACAUAGCUAUAUCCGUUUUCUGGCAGAAUGCACUUCUUAGCUUCAUCAAUUAUAAUUGGUGACUAUAUAUAUAUAUAUAUAUAUAUAUAUAUAUAUAUAUAUAUAUAUACACACACACUUUUGGUGCCUACAGCUAUUUGGUUAGGUGGAAUGUUAACAUGGAUUCUGUGCAACUAGGUCAAGAAUGUAGAGUUUACAAUGACAAUGUUAAAUAGACUCUCUCCUUUGCUUGAAGUUCAGGUUUCACUGUUCCUCAAGCUUUCUUAACCCUGCCCAUCCUCCUGUUUCUUAUAUUUGUCUUUAAGAAAGAAUUAUGGUAAAAUAUCUAAAACCUUCAAGUCUGGCCAUGGGAACACAGGAAGGUAGAUAGUGUAGUACAGAUAUCAAAUGUGACUAGAGGUCGGAAUUUAUAGUCAAUAUGGUCCUUUGUUUUAUUGAUGUCUGGUAAUUUUUGGAUAAAAUAAGGAUUUGUGUGUUGAUCAUUAGAAUUAUGUCGAAUAUUUCCACUGCUAUAUUGACUCAAUAGCCAGGCCAAGUUUGUUGCCGAAUUCAUUGCAAAAAAAAAAAAAAAAGGGAAUUGGAAAAAUGAAAUUUUGAGUACACAUGCAGGAAUAUAUAUAAUGUCCCCUGUCAAUGAAUGUACAAUCAGAUAAUGCAAAACAAUGUUCACUCAAUUAAGGGUCUGUAGGGUAAAUACUGGCACAUGGAAAACUGAGGAAACCUAGGGAAUAGAACUGAAUGUCACAGGAUUGGACCGGGGAAUAAAAUUAUUCGCCAGAAGAAUCUCCUUCACUCCUUGUUCCUAUUACUUUUCUAACCUUGCCAAGCCCCUGACGAACUUCUCCAUUCAGAGCAUGUAACCACUAAUGAAGCAGAGAGAAGUCCCUAGCUUAGAGAGAUGUAGCAUGUAAAGGUUUCCACUGUGUCACAGGAAACACUCCAGGAAAGGGCAUCUCCAAAUCUGGUCAAUGUAAGGAAAUCUGUUCAGCAGGUAGGCUAUGGCAGUUCUCAGUAACAUCACCAUUAGGCCCUCCCUGAAAAAUCUCUUGUAACCUGGAGAGCCCUAGCUUCUUCUGUGAUGUCACAAGUGCUGUUGUGACUGCAACUGCCUCUCAGAUAUUCCUUCAGUACCUCUACGGUUUCCUAAUUGGCCUCAAAUUCAGAGUAAACAGCCAUUUGAGAAGGAGAACAAAGAGAAUGAAGAGAUAAGAGAUGGGCAAAGGAAGCUGGCCUUCUGUCUUGUAUAAAGAAAGGAAGGAAGAUGUGGUUUAUGGGAUAGCUCAGUGAGACAUGGAUUUUUAGGUGCUGAGGACAAAGAGAAGACACACAGAAGGACUGAGACAGAGGGUCUGAACUGGAAGGACAGAGACAGAUGGACAGAGCAGGAGAGGGGAUGACCUGAAAAGACCAGUUUGAGAUAAGGAGAACAAAGACCCAGUUUUUGCCACUGACUGUUGCAUGUGGAGUUGAAAGAAGAUGUGCAGUGGAGCAGCAAUACACAGUGUCAUGCAGAUAGAAUGUAUGCAACCUGGGAAGGGUAGAGAACAACACAGUUUACACCAGGAAGAAGUGAUAAAUUGUCACUCUGACACCAUGGUGUUCUCUUACAUGCGGUCUUCUUUUGUAUCAUCAGUUCCUGCUAUGCCCUCAUCUGGGAUCUCAAGAUGGACUGGGGUCUCUUUGAUAAGAAUGCAGGAGAAAACACUUUCCUCUGGGAAUAAAUUGUAUACCCUCAAAAAGCAUGUAUGGAAUAUUCACACUUAUCUUAGAUAUAUCUGCAGUUAGGUCAUACAGCAGUACUGACACAGGUCUAGUUAACUAAUAUGAUUACAAAACAAUUAUCCCAGAUGCCAAUCUAGCCCCAAAACACCUUAUCUUGUUUUUCUGCUGUGUAGUAAAUGCAGUGGGACAUUUGUUAGA